rnacentral:rRNA from 1 species
CAGUCGUGCGAGAAGGGGACUUCGGUCCCUGAGUAGAGCGGCGCACGGGUGAGUAACGCGUGGAUAAUCUCCCCAGAAGUUCGGGAUAACGGCGGGAAACUGCCGCUAAUACCGGAUACGCUCCAAUUUCGGUUGGGGGAAAGGCGGCCUCUGUUUACAAGCUGUCGCUUCUGGAUGAGUCCGCGUCCCAUUAGCUUGUUGGUGGGGUAAUGGCCUACCAAGGCUACGAUGGGUAGCUGGUCUGAGAGGAUGAUCAGCCACACUGGAACUGAAACACGGUCCAGACUCCUACGGGAGGCAGCAGUGGGGAAUAUUGCGCAAUGGGGGAAACCCUGACGCAGCGACGCCGUGUGAGGGAUGAAGGCUUUCGGGUCGUAAACCUCUGUCGGGAGGGAAGAACCUUCUAAGUCCUAAUAAGACUUGGAACUGACGGUACCUCCAAAGGAAGCACCGGCUAACUCCGUGCCAGCAGCCGCGGUAAU